GAUAUACAUAGCAUUUUAAUUUUGCAUGCUUCACAGGAUGUCACGCUUUCUAAAGGUGAAGCUGCAGAGCUGGCAGAAGGUCAACCAAUCAGCCAGUGUGCUCCCAGACUGCAAAGAGCCAUUGUGCUGACCUGUGAGUCCACGGUGAAACACCUGAAGAAUAGAUUUAGCAGCCUACUUGAAGAGAACACAAAGGAUGCACCAACAGCCAAGGCAGUGAAGUGUUUCAAUGUCUUCAGCCAUGACUCUUGGGCAGAUAAUAGGCUGGAGCUCCUGAACCAUGGUGUGGAAGAGGUGAACUUUCUCCUACGACACUUCUCCACUGUCCUGGACAGGAAUGGCUGCAGCAAAGAAAAGGCCAAAGAGGAGUUCCAACUGAUGAAAAUGACGAUAAACACGUCAUUCAAGGACAAAAGCUAUCUUGGACUGUGGCAAGUCAUGACGACAAAAGAGCCCUACUGCUCAGACUUUGCGAAUAUCCUACACCUGGUCAAAAUCAUGCUGGUGCUCCCAAUCUCUUCAGCAGUCUGUGAAAGAGGCUUCUCAUCAGUAAACAGAAUCAAGUCAGAUGUUAGAUCAAGCCUGCAUACUGAAACUGUUGAGGACCUAAUCCGUAUUAGUGUUGAGGGGCCACAAUUGGAGGACUAUGAUGCCAGGCAGGAUGUUAAGCAAUGGUUCUCCCAGGGUAAGAGGAGCAGGAGGCCUAACUAUAUGAGCUGGUCCCUAGAAUGAGAUGAAUUGCAGGGAAGAAAUUAAUGCUGCUUAGUUCAAGUUCAGUUUGAAUUAAUGAGCUUUAAGUUUAUAAGUUAUUUAUUACGUAGUUUUUAAGUUACCAGUAAGUUCGAUGUUCAGAAUGUUAUGUUCAAUAUACGUUUAAUAACGUGGAACAGUAUUUUUGUACUGCGGCUCAUGCAGAGAAACUUGAAUUCAGAUUAAAAUAUUUUGCAAAUAUCAAGUUUGGGUCAUUGUCAAUCUUUAACUUUCAUCAACAUAACAUAUUAAUAACACGCUAUACAAAGAAAAAUAUGGUGCUACCUAAUUUGUUUUGGUGCUACUAAAUGAAAAGCUAGGUGGCACCAGUGUUACCUGUGAAAAAGUUAGUCUGGAGCCCUGCACCAGCGCCAACAGCAGUUCCAGCACCAGCAACAGAAGACCCAUCACCAGCUCCAGGUCCAUCAUCAGCAUCAGCAACAGAGGCCCUGGGCCACUCUGUAAGAAUCUGUUUGACUUUAUUUGUAUAGGUUAAGUUACAUUUGCAGUAGUUUCAGUUGCACUGUUUUUCUAAAUGCAUCAGCCGUACACUCGGUUAAUCUAAAUGCACAUAUAUAUCAUUGAGGUAAGACGCUAGUCUGCUGUAUGUUGAAGUAGAUUUGUGGUAAUGUUAUCUACUUGCAUUAAAGGUCAUUCCAAAAGGACUUGUGGAGCACUGCUCCUUCCAAAGCCCCCAGAAGUUCAUAAAUGAUCUCCUACAUGGGAUGUAUACCAGGGAAUAUAUGGCAGGCCAGUCAUCCAGCAGCUGCACAGAAGGAAAACCUGGCCUAGCCAAACAGGACCUUGUAGAAAUAACAAGUAGGUAUAUAGAAAUGAGAAAAGAUGUUGGUUGAGUGAUACCCUCAUUCUCAUGCUCAUCUUUCGUGUAUGUGUUUGUGUGUGUGUGUGUGUGUAUUCCCACAGAUGCUGCAAAGUUGAAGUUCACCUACGUAACUGAUACGAACAUAAAAGCAUUUAAACGACAAAAGCUGAACAAUGCUGCCAAAUUUCAUGAACAAUAAAUGAUCAACUGUUUAAAGAAAGUUAAACUUUUGUUCUAUUUUUUUUUGCAUUUUAGCAGUCUAGAAGAAAACACUGUGUUAAUGGUGGUUGUAAGCCUAAUUUAUGUGCAGUGAAUUAUUGUUACAG
rnacentral:lncRNA from 1 species